rnacentral:lncRNA from 1 species
GGAAAGUUUAAGCAAGUUGCCCAAGGUCAUGGAGCUGAUGAGAGAGAGCUGGGAUUUGAAUUAAGGCAUGGUCUAUUUCCAUACUCCCUGCUCUCUCUCACUAAUUCCCCAUUACUCUAGAAAAUGAAACAGCUACAGAAGGCUGGGAGCCAGUCACACCCAGGGUAUAAUGCCGAAGGAGAAGGGAGCAAGACUGUUGGUGGGACAUGGUUGUCCCACAGCAAGACUGUUGGUGGGACAGGGCUCCGACUGCCCUGGCCCUCUGCAGAGCCUCCUGAGAAGACAUGGGCCACAUGGGGCAAAGGGCUGGCCUCAUAAAACUGCCCAGAAGGAAAAGGUGACCCUGAAGACAGAUGGACCCCCAAAUUCCUGGAGAUUGAGGGAGGAAAGCAGCAGCCACACAGAAGAACCUGCAGCCAAGUGUUCCAUUUGGGGUCCCCAAAGAAUCCACAAAGC